UGGCGAACGGGUGAGUAACGCGUGAGGAACCUGCCUCAAAGAGGGGGACAACAGUUGGAAACGACUGCUAAUACCGCAUAAGCCCACGGGUCGGCAUCGACCAGAGGGAAAAGGAGCAAUCCGCUUUGAGAUGGCCUCGCGUCCGAUUAGCUAGUUGGUGAGGUAAUGGCCCACCAAGGCGACGAUCGGUAGCCGGACUGAGAGGUUGAACGGCCACAUUGGGACUGAGACACGGCCCAGACUCCUACGGGAGGCAGCAUG
rnacentral:rRNA from 1 species